AUUGAGACGAGUGGCGAACUGGUGAGUAACACGUGGGUAACCUGCCCUUGAAGUAGGGGAUAACACUUGGAAACAGGUGCUAAUACCGUAUAACAACCAAAACCACCUGGUUUUGGUUUAAAAGAUGGCUUCGGCUAUCACUUUAGGAUGGACCCGCGGCGUAUUAGCUUGUUGGUAAGGUAACGGCCUACCAAGGCAAUGAUACGUAGCCGACCUGAGAGGGUAAUCGGCCACAUUGGGACUGAGACACGGCCCAAACUCCUACGGGAGGCAGCAGUAGGGAAUCUUCCACAAUGGACGAAAGUCUGAUGGAGCAACGCCGCGUGAGUGAUGAAGGGUUUCGGCUCGUAAAACUCUGUUGUUGGAGAAGAACAGGUGUGAGAGUAACUGUUCACAUCUUGACGGUAUCCAACCAGAAAGCCACGGCUAACUACGUGCCAGCAGCCGCGGUAAUACGUAGGUGGCAAGCGUUGUCCGGAUUUAUUGGGCGUAAAGCGAGCGCAGGCGGUUUCUUAGGUCUGAUGUGAAAGCCUUCGGCUUAACCGGAGAAGUGCAUCGGAAACCAGGAGACUUGAGUGCAGAAGAGGACAGUGGAACUCCAUGUGUAGCGGUGAAAUGCGUAGAUAUAUGGAAGAACACCAGUGGCGAAGGCGGCUGUCUGGUCUGUAACUGACGCUGAGGCUCGAAAGCAUGGGUAGCGAACAGGAUUAGAUACCCUGGUAGUCCAUGCCGUAAACGAUGAGUGCUAAGUGUUGGAGGGUUUCCGCCCUUCAGUGCUGCAGCUAACGCAUUAAGCACUCCGCCUGGGGAGUACGACCGCAAGGUUGAAACUCAAAGGAAUUGACGGGGGCCCGCACAAGCGGUGGAGCAUGUGGUUUAAUUCGAUGCUACGCGAAGAACCUUACCAGGUCUUGACAUCUUCUGCCAACCUAAGAGAUUAGGCGUUCCCUUCGGGGACAGAAUGACAGGUGGUGCAUGGUUGUCGUCAGCUCGUGUCGUGAGAUGUUGGGUUAAGUCCCGCAACGAGCGCAACCCUUAUUGUUAGUUGCCAGCAUUCAGUUGGGCACUCUAGCAAGACUG
rnacentral:rRNA from 1 species